CCAGGCCGAGGCGCGGCAGACCAACCGGUGCAAACCGGACCCCUCUGUCCCUGGAAGAACGGCGCGCAAGAAAUGCGCAGUACGAAAGGGAGAGGAGGGAGGAUUUAGCCCAGGCCCAGGCUGAGCUAGCUGAGGCCGCUGGGUGCGACCCAAAUGUAUCGGAGGCCGACUUGUUGGCAUUUGUAGU